GCAGCUGAGAUCUUAUUUUUUAGAUCCUAUGAAUGGUCAUGGUAUAUGGACCGCUUUUUUAACGUUUAUUUUUUAUGCCUCUUCGCUAUUUACAGGAAACAAAUGCUAGAAAGGCUGAGGCUUGGGCUGCUGUUGAAAGAUCUUUGAAUUCACGUCUUCAGGAAGCCGAGGCAAAAGCUGCAACUUCAGAGGAAAGGAACGAUCUAUUAAUGAACGCCUGUCUCAAAUCAAUGUUCUUGAGGCUCAGUUGUCUUAGAGCUGAGCAGACACGGCUAACAAAGUCCCUUGACAGAGAGAGACAUAGGGCCGCAGAGAAUAGGCAAGAAUAUCUUGCUCUAAAGGAGGAAGCUGAGACUAACGAAGGUCGUGUGAAUCAGCUUGAAGAAGAAAUUAAGGAACUCAGAAGGAAACACAAGCAGGAAUUACAAGAAGCAAUAACUCACCAGGAACUCCUGCGUCAGGAGUUGGAACGGGAGAAAGCUGCUCGUUUGGAUCAAGAAAGGGAAUCUAGUACUUUUAAUUUUGUGCCUGAUCAUAGCCCAAUAUUGAAGCAGAAAUCUGGGAUUGAAAAUGCUGCAGGAAGUUUGACACGUAGACUUUCAAGUGCUAGCAGCUUGAGUAGCAUGGAGGAAAGCUAUUUUCUGCAAGCAUCUUUGGACUCAUCUGACAAUUUAUCUGAGCGUAGAAAUGCAUUAGAGGGUAAUAUGAGUCCAUACUUCAUGAAGAGCAUGACACCUGCACUUCGGCAGAAGGAAGGGGAACUUGCUUCCUAUAUGUCUCGACUGGCAUCUAUGGAAGCCAUCCGUGACUCCCUUGCUGAGGAUCUGGUUAAAAUGACUGCAGAGUGUGAAAAGCUACGUUCAGAAGCUUCCAUGCUUCCUGGCAUCCGAGCAGAGCUAAGAUGCACUUAGGAGGAGACACUCGGCGGCUCUUGAAUUGAUGGGUGAACGUGAUGAGGAGUUGGAAGAACUCCGUGCCGAUAUCAUUGAUAUGAAGGAGAUGUACAGAGAGCAAAUCCAGGUGCUUAGCUCAUCAAUGAGUACCACCUGACAGAGCUGAUCCGUUGAUGUAUGGCUUGUUCUGGUCUGUUGCGGCAUGUAGGGUACUGCAGUGAAUGUGGUGUAUUCACAUUGAUUUUGGACACGAUAAUUCUUUUGUCACCGGUUUAUUAUAAAUCUAUAGAGGAACUUGCCUUUUACAGGUUUUCUGUUGUAACUUUUAAGAGUGAGUUGUUGUAUAGCAUAUUCUUUUAACGGGGGCGUAUUGCUUUAUUAAGCUUGAUAAACUGUUUUCAUUUGUUCCCCAAGUUCAAGAAAGGAGACCCAACAAG